AACGAACGCUGGCGGCAUGCCUAACACAUGCAAGUCGAACGAUUGCCUUCGGGUGAUAGUGGCGCACGGGUGCGUAACGCGUGGGAAUCUGCCCUUAGGUUCGGAAUAACAGCUGGAAACGGCUGCUAAUACCGGAUGAUAUCGCGAGAUCAAAGAUUUAUCGCCUGAGGAUGAGCCCGCGUUGGGUUAGGUAGUUGGUGGGGGAAAGGCCUGCCGAGCCAACGAUCCAUAGCUGGUCUGAGAGGAUGAUCAGCCAAACUGGGACUGAGACACGGCCCAGACUCCCACGGAAGGCCGCAGUGGGGAAUAUUGGACAAUGGGCGCAAGCUUGAUCCAGCAAUGCCGCGUGAGUGAUGAAGGCCCUAGGGUUGUAAAGCUCUUUUACCCGGGAAGAUAAUGACUGUACCGGGAGAAUAAGCCCGGGCUAACUCCGUG
rnacentral:rRNA from 1 species